UGUACGAACAUGCAUUAUGCUUGUGUUCUUGAAUCACCAAACUAGUGCAUGCAAACCAAUCAUGUACUCCCUCCAUCCCAUAUUAAGUGACUCAAAUUUGCUCAAAUAUGGAUGUACCUAUAACCAAAAAGCGUCUAGAUACAUGUAAUAUUACGUCACUUAAUAUGGGACGGAGGGAGUAUUUUUUUAUCAGAAUUGAGUUAAUCGUUCUUAACCUUCUAUAGUUUCUGCAUGCACACCAUUUAAUUAUUACUCAUGAAAAAGGUGCAUGAGCGGUUGAGGCGUUGAGCACUAGAGUACUAUCCUGGUUUUGCCAGGCCUGUGAAUGGCUGUAGUUGGGCCAACAACCAGAUGUCCCGAAUUAUCUGACGUGGAUUUGUCAGUUAAUUUGGGUGGAGGGAGUACUCUAUUUUUUAAAUUUCUUUUUCGGUGAGGUGUGUGGGGUGAGGGGGUUCAAUUCGGUCAUCCAGCAGGAAACCUUGCCUAGUUUGGGAUUUUGUCUAGGAAAGAAUUCAGUCGAUCGCGUCCGCUGGUUUUUUAUAUGAAAGACACUGAUUUCGAUCCUAACCAACGAUCAGCCAAUGGAUUAGGGUUUAAUUUGUCGAGAAAACUAUUGAAUCGAUCAUGGAUUAGGAAAUGCUACGUGCACUUAGUGAACACAGUUUGCAGGAGCACACCAUUUCACCACCUGACCAGAUUCAAAUGGUCUUGCAGUUGCUCUACAUUAGAUGGAACUUUAGAAAUUGUAUUAAUCGUCGCUUGCUGCUGCAAUCUGUACACUGUUCUUGUGAUUUGAGCAGUUUCAUGAUGAGUAGGAUUGAUGGGUGUUUCUUUAUAUAUGAGAUUGAUUGAAUUUGAGUGACGGGCGCAAAUGGAAUGUUCAAAUGCAGAGGAGGUCUCUGAGGAUGGCUAUGGUCAGUUUCAAGAUGAGCUGCUUGGAAGGAAGAGGGAAGUGGUCGUGGCGCGCAAUAAACUGCAGACUAGUAAGAACGAGAUCCAGGACAAAAAAGUUUUAAGAGGAGAUUUCUGAGGAUAGCCAUUUCCAGAUUGAAGGUGGGUUGCAGGGAAGGAAGAGAAUAGUAACUGCGACACACAAACCGUGGACUACUGGAACUGAGACCCAAUCACCCAAGAUGAAAAUGUCAAGAGGAGAUUUCUUUGCAUACCUGUGUUGAGCUUCAUGGUGGGGUCGGGUCAAGGAAUGAAGAGGAAAGCAACCAUGGCAUCCAUCAAACAGCAGACAACUGGAACUGAGACCCAGAACAAAAAAGUUCAUGGUCAGUAUCUGAGAGCUGAGAAUGAGACGCUGAUGCUGCAGCUCGCUUGCAAGACAAAAGAGCUCGAGGCUUGAGGCAACCUCCAUACUCUCCUUUAAGUACGGAAGAGAAAGAUGGGUAAAUCAGUAAAAGAAAGUUGUCCUUCCUCCGCACGGUCUCCAAAUCACCUUUAUGUUUUCUUAGGAUUGCUCAGAGAAUUCCGUGGCAGAUUUUUUUUGAAUGCUGAUCACGAAAGCAUUACCAAGAAAGAGGCUUGAAACUGAAUGGAUGUUUCUACAGCCUUGAGGCAGGCCACCAUGUGCUCAUUACCUUCAAAGUGAGAUUUUUAUUUGAGAAAACAAAGUGAGAAAAUUUACUGUCUUCAUGUGUAUGAGAUCAACAAUCUGUCACUAGAAGAUAUUCCACAUGUUUGCAAUCUGAGGUGUGUCGUCUGAUAUACUCAAUAUGAAGAUAACGUCUGGCCUGCAUCGACGUCUGGUUAAAGCAGCACUCAACAUGUCCUCAGCCACGGCCUAUAUACUCAACAUGACCUUUAUACUGUCCUAGAAUCAAGAUCAGGCCCGUACCACGGCCUGUGUAUCGGUGCAGAGACAAAGCCAGCAAUGUGAAUCAGAUCAAAGAGUAUAACAACCAACGGCGAAAUUGAACGAGUCCUCAUGUGCGUCCCAUGAUGUAAACCUCGUUAGGUUGAUGCCGCAGCGAUUUAAGGUUUCAUAUAACUGCAUGCUGCCAGUUUGACAGUGUAGGUGUGUGCGUAUAUAGCUACCACGGUAGGUAGCCAGAUGUUGUUCAUAUACUAUGAAUGGCUUUGAGAUCCAUAAACUAUUUUCCCAAAGUUGUACCAAAGGGAAAAUCUAGAUAUUUCAGAGUGCUUUCUACCAAAGCUGAUUCUGUCUCCACUUCUCCAUCUGGAAUACAAAACUACAUAUAUGUGUGCUAAGCACCAAUUGAGUAUCGAGUUUUAUUUCCCUGUAUCAAACA